rnacentral:snoRNA from 1 species
UCACCAUGAUGAAACACAUACCACAUUCGCAGUUUUCACUCGAGUCCUCGCCUUAGAACCUAAAUAGAGGACAGAUGAGGGUCAAUCUUCCUUGGAUGUCUGAUUAA